rnacentral:rRNA from 1 species
UACGUAGGAGACGAGCGUUGUCCGGAAUUACUGGGCGUAAAAGCGCGUGUAGGCGGAUGGGCAAGUCUGCUGUGAAAGCUCCUGGCUUAACCGGGAGUGGUCGGUGGAAACUGCCCGUCUGGAGGACGGUAGAGGUAGGUAGAAUUCCCGGUGUAGUGGUGAAAUGCGUAGAGAGUCGGGAGGAAUACCUGUGGCGAAGGCGGACCUACUGGGCCGGCAUUGACGCUGAGGAGCGAAAGCCAGGGGAGCCAAAGCGGGAUUAAGAAACCCGGGG